AUGAGAGUCAUGUUCGGAGGCGAGCAAUACCACUGGAAUUUGAGAGGAAACAGUUCAAUCUUCGCUUGUCAUGAUGUGUAUGGAGGAGACGACGCUUGCAACGUAUUGGUGUUAACCUUUCUAUACCAAGGGGCAUCAUCUCGGCGCUCCGUGGCCAUGUCGUCAACCUCACUGCUAAAGCGAUGCAGUGGCAUGGCACAGUCGCGAAAAGGGUGCCGCUAUGACCCAGAGAGAGCCGGCAUCGGGAUUGUCUCGGCUAUUAUGGAACCAACCGAUGCACGCCUACACAUCGUCGGGCCUCUCAUCCACACCAACGCACGUGAGAUCCUAGAGGUUACACUGCCAAACCUUAUUUGGAGCAAUAGGAGGCCAUUCCGAGCAGCCAUACUUUCAUCUGGUCUAUGCCGCAGCUGGAUCGGUAGUGGCACCGUCUACAUGUACAAAGGUGAGAUGGGAUUCUGUAAACCGGAGUGUGGCAACGACUAUAUUGUGGAGCAAUUGGAAAAACAGAGAUGGAGGCUGAGGUGGUGUCAAAGAGAAAAGGUCCCACCAAUGGAGGACGAUAAGGAAGGCAAUCAGAGCUCCAUGUUCUUCACCUGCGCUGGUAGCCUAUGA
rnacentral:rRNA from 1 species